rnacentral:rRNA from 1 species
GAUGAACGCUGGCGGCGUGCCUAACGCAUGCAAGUCGAGCGAUCUUCUUCGGAAGAGAGCGGCGGACGGGUGAGUAACGCGUGGGUAACCUGCCCUGUACACACGGAUAACAUACCGAAAGGUAUGCUAAUACGAGAUAAUAUGCUUUUGUCGCAUGGUAGAAGUAUCAAAGCUUUUGCGGUACAGGAUGGACCCGCGUCUGAUUAGCUAGUUGGUAAGGUAACGGCUUACCAAGGCUACGAUCCGUAGCCGACCUGAGAGGGUGAUCGGCCAGACUGGGACUGAGACACGGCCCAGACUCCUACGGGAGGCAGCAGUGAGGAAUUUUCCGCAAUGGGCGAAAGCCUGACGGAGCGACGCCGCGUGGAGGAUGAAGGCUUUCGGACUGUAAACUCCUUUUAUACGGGAAGAUUAUGACGGUACCGUAUGAAUAAGCACCGGCUAACUACGUGCCAGCCGCCGCCGUAA